GAUCCUGGCUCAGGACGAACGCUGGCGGCGUGCCUAAUACAUGCAAGUCGAGCGAAGUUUUUUCUGGUGCUUGCACUAGAAAAACUUAGCGGCGAACGGGUGAGUAACACGUAAAGAACCUGCCUCAUAGACGGGGACAACUAUUGGAAACGAUAGCUAAUACCGGAUAACAGCAUAAAUCGCAUGAUAUAUGUUUAAAAGUUGGUUUCGGCUAACACUAUGAGAUGGCUUUGCGGUGCAUUAG
rnacentral:rRNA from 1 species